rnacentral:misc_RNA from 1 species
GAUGAAGAACGUAGCGAAAUGCGAUACGUAAUGUGAAUUGCAGAAUUCAGUGAAUCAUCGAGUCUUUGAACGCACAUUGCGCCCCCUGGUAUUCCGGGGGGCAUGCCUGUCCGAGCGUCAUUGCUGCCCUCAAGCACGGCUUGUGUGUUGGGCCUCCGUCCUCCUCCCGGGGGACGGGCCCGAAAGGCAGCGUCGGCACCGCGUCCGGUCCUCGAGCGUAUGGGGCUUCGUCACCCGCUCUUGUAGGCCCGGCCGGCGCUUGCCGACACAUCAAUCUUUUUUCCAGGUUGACCUCGGAUCAGGUAGGGAUACCCGCUGAACUUAAGCAUAUCAAUAAGCGGAGGA